AAGAUUUUAAGUUAAUAAAACUAUAAGCCUUCAAAGUUUAAUAUAUAUAUAUAUUAUUUAUAAAUCUUA
rnacentral:tRNA from 1 species